UGGGGAAUAUUGGACAAUGGGCGCAAGCCUGAUCCAGCCAUGCCGCGUGAGUGAUGAAGGCCCUAGGGUUGUAAAGCUCUUUCACCGGUGAAGAUAAUGACGGUAACCGGAGAAGAAGCCCCGGCUAACUUCGUGCCAGCAGCCGCGGUAAUACGAAGGGGGCUAGCGUUGUUCGGAUUUACUGGGCGUAAAGCGCACGUAGGCGGACUAUUAAGUCAGGGGUGAAAUCCCGGGGCUCAACCCCGGAACUGCCUUUGAUACUGGUAGUCUUUAGUUCGAGAGAGGUGCGUUGCAUUCCGCGUGUAGAGGUGAAAUUCGUAGAUAUUCGGAGGAACACCAGUGGCGAAGGCGGCUCACUGGCUCGAUACUGACGCUGAGGUGCGAAAGCGUGGGGAGCAAACAGG
rnacentral:rRNA from 1 species